rnacentral:rRNA from 1 species
UACGUAGGGCGCAAGCGUUGUCCGGAAUUAUUGGGCGUAAAGAGCUCGUAGGCGGUUUGUCGCGUCGACUGUGAAAUCCCGAGGCUCAACCUCGGGUCUGCAGUCGAUACGGGCAAACUGGAGUGUUGCAGGGGAGACUGGAAUUCCUGGUGUAGCGGUGAAAUGCGCAGAUAUCAGGAGGAACACCGGUGGCGAAGGCGGGUCUCUGGGCCGAUACUGACGCUGAGGAGCGAAAGCGUGGGGAGCGAACAGG